rnacentral:rRNA from 1 species
UACGUAGGGUGCGAGCGUUGUCCGGAAUUAUUGGGCGUAAAGAGCUUGUAGGCGGUUUGUCGCGUCUGCUGUGAAAUCUCAAGGCUCAACCUUGAGCUUGCAGUGGGUACGGGCAGACUAGAGUGUGGUAGGGGAGACUGGAAUUCCUGGUGUAGCGGUGAAAUGCGUAGAUAUCUGGAGGAACACCGGUGGCGAAGGCGGCGUUCUGGACUGCAACUGACACUGAAAAACGAAAGCCAGGGGAGCAAACGGG